CCGGCUCGGGGCACAGCCCGCACUCCCUGAUUGGACACAAACUGGGGCACAGCCUCUCGCCGCCGCCCGCCAGGCCUCCUCGAGCCGCCGCCGCGCAGCUCCCGGAGCGCCCAGCCGGGCACGGCCCACGGCGGAGCCCAGGCCUGGAGGGGACAAGCCGCGGCGGCUGCCCGAGGCGGGCGUGGAGCCCAGCGUUCGCCGGGGGCUCUCAGUCGCCCACCUGUAGUGGCCCGACCUUGGCAAGGAGAAAUUUGAAACUUCUCAGGCUGGAGACUUCCUAUCGUACAGCCGCGGAAGGGCCACCUUCUCCCUCCACAGACGGAGGAAGUGUGCCCUUGAAUAGAUGGAAGGCAGCUCGAAUGUCAGUGUGCCUCCCUGGCGAUGGUCAAGUCCAGGCUUCCCGUAUAAGCUGCCCCCCUACCUCAGAGCUCGCAGUUUCUUUUCCCUGGCUCCAGCUUCUUUCCUUCUAAUCACAAAGUCCCUGCACCCCGCCCGCCACCCCACCAGAAGUGACCUUGCCGCCCUGAUGCUGAAGAUCUUCCGAUGACUCACCAUGGCCUCAAGCCUUAAUGCCUCAUUCUCACAGCCCCCAACAUCUGGGCCUCCACCUUUCAGCCUCCUCUCCACUUUCCUACCCUCACCCCAAAGCCCCUGUUUACGGACACCACCUUAAUGUGUGUCCUUUGACGCCUGAUUUUGAUCCUGCUCUGUUCUCUGCCGGAAAACCCCUUAGCUGCCUCCACCUGUCAAACUCCCUUGGACUCAGCUCCUGUAGCCAUUUCCUACCAUCUCUGCAGCCUUCCUGCUCCCCCAGGCAGAAUCCUCCCUUGUGGCUCGCAUCAUUCUGACUUGGGGGUCAGUUGUGUGCCUGUACUGUACCCCCACUGAUCUGUGAGUUCCUUGAAGAGAAGUCUGCUUUUAACAGAGCUCUGGUGACGGGAGAAAUGAAAGCUGUAAGACUAAUACUACCUCCGAGUGUCUGCAGCUCUGGUGGGAUUGGAAAAAUUCAGGAGUCUUUAUCAAGAGGGUCUCCUCCUUUAUGAUGAGGUCCACAAACCUCAUCUUGCAAAAGCAAACACUUCCAAAAACUGAGCAUGCUCUCUGUUUUUCCUGCGUCUCUGUAUCUCCUCCCCACCACACUUAGCUAUGUGCCCUCUAUACUCAUAAUGGGCACUUAAGUAACCUUUGAGGAAUCAAAUGGAAUUCUACAGAUAUGUUCCUUAAGCCAAGGCUGGCGGUGAUCAAAGCGAACAGAGAAAAUCAUGAAAAAAUAGACAUGAACCCGGUCAUUUUACAGCUAAUUCCUAGGCUAAGAGCCCUCCAGCCCUGUUAGCUAGUGUGGAUUUGUCGCUGUCUGAUCAAACACUGAAGUAGACCAUGACCCUUCUUGAAUCCUGGGACUGCUAGAUUUUUGUCUCCGAUGCACUGCCUGCAGUCCCAUUAGGAAAACUUGCAACUUGGAACUCUGCAAGUGAAUCCAAGUGAAAGUAAAGUUUUCUUUCCCAAGUGAUUCAAUAGCAAUAAUUUAAUGCUGCAAAUUAGUUACAAGUGUUGAAAGAACUGAAAGUUCAACUAGGGUAAGGUGAGGCAGUGCUGAGAUUAGCAACUGCCGGACGUGGGUCUUCCCUGAGGCUGGAAGGGCAAAGAGGGGAGACUGCCAGAACCCUGAAGGGCUUGUUCAAUAAGAGUUGGAGCCACAAAGGAAGUGCAACUACUGCAGGAGAUGUCUUUCAAAGUAGAGAAUAGGAGUCCCAUGGUUUCUCCCUUCCUCCCACCCUCCAGGGCCAUUCUGUGGUAGAAAGCAGGAGAAUCCAGUGGACAAGAUGACAGAGGGCAGGGGUCAGAAUCGCUACAAAUUAUGUGAGAGCAGCAAAAAGAGAAUGGAUCUGAGAGCCCAGUGGCAAAUGACUGGCACCUGGGCUUGGGUGCUGCAUCUGGUUGCUUCUUCCUCCAGGCCAGAUUCCACAGUGCAGCACGAACUUUCUCUUCCCAAGUCCUGGAAUUCUCUCCCUCUUUCUUGUCCCUCUUUGACCUUCUGCUUCCAUCACCCUUCUAUCCUCCUCUUCUUCUCCAUGACUCCCUUUCAUUUCCUUUUUCUCUCUCAUCUCCUGUACUCUGGCUCUCAUUUUUUCUUUAUGUACCCAUAUAUAUCCUCCUGACUUCUUUUUUUCCCCCUGCAGAGUCUCUUCUCCCCUCUUAUUUUCCUAUCCCUCCCUGGGCAGGAUGGCAGCCUUCUUCAGCAUGAAGGAGAUGACCGGGUUCCCAUGGAAGGAAGAGAUUGGGAACUAUCACAUUGCUGCCUUUACAGGCAGUGUACUAGAUAUUUUACACACGUUAUUUCAUUUAAUCUUCAUCUCCUAGCUGGGCAACAUUUAAUCUGGUGGCUUUGCUAUUUCCUGUUGUAAGGAAGGCUAUGUGCCAGUCACCAACAACACUGCUGACGGUUCUUUUACCUUUCCUGUACAUGGUCCCUGCACCCUUUCUUCUUCUUUUCCUACAUCUUUUCCUUUCAUUAGCACAGAUACAGGUACUUAGCACAAAUCCCAACCACCAACAGUCUAAUACAUCCCCACUCUAAAUCUCCAAAGACAAAGGAGGUGGCAUUUCAGCUGGCUCUUGAAGGAUGGAUAGAUUUUCAAUAGAUGGAAAGAGAGGAAGGGUAUUCUUGGUGGAACAGUAAAUUACAUGGUUUACCUUGUCUGAAACACAAGGAAAAACUAGGAAAUGAGGUCAUAUUUCAGAAACUUGUGCUCAGCUCUCAGUUCUCCAAGACUGUUCAGAAACACAGAUUAUCCAUGAGCAUAUUAAAUAUAGGUAUGAUUUAUAUAAUUAGAAUCAGAGUGUUUUAAAGCUAAAAAGAAAUUUCAAUCUUGUCUGGUCCAACAUGCCCAGUUUUAAGUGAGGGAACCAAAGCCUAAAAGACUUAAUACCUGGAAUAUUGUGAUGAUUAAACAUGGGCAUUAGAGUUUGACUACCUGUAUUCAAAUCCCUACUUUAACCAAUUUUAGUUUAUCUGAUCUUGAAUUUUCUGAAGUUUCCUCAUCUAUAAAAUAGAGAAAAAUGAUAGAAUCUACUACAUUCUAAUGAUAGAAUGAAAUAUUGUCAUAUGUAAAAUACUCACUCUUACCCAGUUUGGACUGCUAUAACAAACUACCGUGAACUGGGUGGCUUAAACAACAAACAUUCAGUUCUCACAGUUGUGGAGUCUGGAGGUAUGACAUCAGGGUACCAGCAUGGUCAGGGGUUGGCUGAGGGCCUUUCUUCCUCCUCUGGAGUGCUGACUUCUCAUGGUAUCCUUACAUAGUGAAAAGACAUUGAGCCUCAGAGCUCUCUGCCGUUCCUUUUAUAAGGGCAGUCAUCUCAUUAAUGAGGACUCCACUCUCAUGACUUAAUUACUUCCCAAAGGCCCUACCUCCCAAUACCGUCAUAUUGGGGAGUAGGAUUUCAACAUAUGAAUUUGAGGGGAGGCGUGAACAUUCAGUCAAUUAUGCACAAGUUAUAUGGUGCCUGGCAUAUAGACAGUACUCAUUAAAUAGAGACAUAAAAUAUUAUGGCUUCCUGUGGCUAUCCAGCUAGUAAAUACCAGAGCUAGAACUGGUCCCCCAAGUUUUUGAGGCCCUAAUUUUAUGUUCCCUGCAUUAUUUGAAGUUAUGUCUUAUGAGGCUUGUUUAACACCAUCUGUGAAGAUAUGGUGCUCCUCUAGUCUGCUGUUUAAAGAAGUGCUCAGUUAUCUUUCUAGCUCCAAUUUCUCUACAUUUCCUGCUUCCUGUUUCUGCCAGCCCUGGUUCCCUCCCAGCAGCCCUCAGCAAUCCUAGCAUACUGUGAAGUUCCAGGGGAGGAGGGGAGCAUGAAAAAUAGCAAUAAACCUGUAUUUUAUAGUCAACUGUUUAGGUAUAAGUUCUGAUAUAGUAAAAUUUUACUAAUUUAAAUUUCAUAGGGCCAAAAAAUGUCAUUGAAUUAAAGAUAUUCAAAUUAUCUGUUAUUCUUCAGCCUACAGGGUGUCAACUCUACAAGCUUAAAUUUUAGUAGUUCCUCAGGGGGAUUCACUGGGACCAAGAAAAAACCUUAAGUUUGGGGUAUCUGUCUAAUUCUUCAACAAAAUUGUGAUGGAAGAGAACAAAUUUCUUUGUCUUUCCUUUCCUUUCUUAGUCACUGGUCCCACUUUUCAAAACUCCAGCCCCAUGACCUUUGCAUAGUCUACUGUCUCUGGACUGUAAGCAUCUUGAGGCAAUGAACCACUGCUUACUUGCCUUUUAAUGUCUAGAACCUGCCUGAAGUAUAAUAGGCAGCCACAUGUUGAACUGACUGACUUGAGCACGGCUGCACUUACCGAAGGAAUCCCUUCCUCCUCCCCCUUCCAGUCUUCCUCUCCUCAGUUAGUUGUCACCCUGCUACCCUAAUGCAGUGGAAAGCAUGGCAACAGCUGAAUGUGAAAUAAAUGUACAUUUUACAUUAUGAAGUACAUUUAAAGAGGUUUAUUUUAGUGGUGUAAAGCCAGGCAGUAUUUUAAGAAGAUCAGGAAGACAUUUUUGGGGCAGCUGGACUUUCCUAACACCUUCACAUCACACCACACAAACUGAAGCUUAUCUCUCCUAUAAAUAAAGGCUACUUGACUUUCAUUGUUACACAUUUUACUUUAGAUUUCUUAGGUUAACUGUCGACAGCCUCUAUUCUACAUAUAGGUGUAUUAAUUAUCCUGCCUAAGUUAUUUCUUAAAAGGUACUAUUUGUCUUAAUCUUAGAAAGUGAGUAAUUGUCCCACUUUUCUCUUUUACUUCCAGGCCAGACUAAUGAUUCAAUACCUUGGUCACUCACUGCCUUUUGAAUUCCUGAAAUCUACUUUCUACUUCCUCUAAUUCAUUUACAUGCUUCCUCUAGGAAAUUGGAAGGAAUCCAAAGGAUUAAUUCUAGAUCAACUUCUCAUUUUGUGAAAGAGGAAAUUGAAGAACAGAAAUGUGUAGUGGCAGAAUCUCCAGUUCCCAAAGCAUUCAUCCCAUGCUCCAUCCUCUUAUUAUGUGUCUUUAAAACAGCUAAAGUGAACUUUCCAUUGUCAGCUUCCCACCUGACUUCCCUGUUUAUGCCAAUCACCACCAUCCAUUGGGUUCUUUAGGAUUAAAAUUGGUGAUCUUUGAUGACUGCCUUCUCUUUAGACCUCUACUUCCACUUCAGGAUGUCUCUCUUACUUGUCUUUUUUGUCUGAAUUUUCCCCAUUGUUCAGGGCAUUUUCUCUUUACAACCGUUAUUACAAUAGGUUGCUAAUAGUUUCACUGUCUUCAAACUCUUUCUGUCAUAGAGUGAACCUAGCAGAAGAACUAACAAUAUAAGUCAAACAAUUUUAUAGUUAUAGUAAGAUGGUGCCAUUUUGCCAUAUAAAAUCAAAUUCAGCAUGCUUUCAGACUAUCAAUAAAAUAUGAAUUUUUUUGUCAAGCCUUUCUGGUUCUGAAAUAUAUAGCGAUAACUAACUGUGUGAUCUUGGGCACAUUUAAGUUCUACGAACUGCAAUGUCCUCAGUCUGUUAACUGGUGAUAUUAUUAGUAUAUAUGCCUAACUCAAAGGCUUGUUUGAAAAUUAAAUGGGAUAACGAAUGUAAAGUACUUAAUAGUAAUAGUUGUAAUAACUAUUUACUAUUGACCAAACAUUAGUCUAAGCUGUUUAAAUGAAUUAUGUCACAUCAACCCUAUAAUGUAUAUACCAUUAUUAUAGCUAGAUGAGAAAACUGAGGCCCAGAGAAGUUAAAAAACUUGCCUAAGGUCAACUAGCUAAGAAGUGGCUAAACCAGGAUUCACACACCAGUGUGUUACAUGGGAAUAACUUAGUACAGUACACAGUACUAAGUUAAUUUGUUAUUUAUUAUUAUUAAUAUCACUUUAAAGAGAGGAGAAAACCUUUUUAUCUGCUUUCCUUGAAGAUUUGUUUCUGAAGUUGAGCCUUAGCAUCACUUUUGGAAGACACGGAUAAUUCUUAAUAAUUAAAUGUGCUGAGUACCACUUGUUUCUGCUUCCCAAAGAGAGGCAGGAAGGAUGGUUAGGGGUUCUUGCAUUGCUUGGACCCUGUAAUCACCCUGGUCCUCCCCAUCUCCACUUUGCCUUUCAUAAUAUCCUUAAUAUUAUAAAAUGGGAAUGACACAGGCGAUCUCUGACUCAGGCAUAGUUCAUAGUGACAGGCCAAAGAUUUAUUCUCUGAUUGUCCCUUAAAGUUUCUUUAAAGCUUUCUCAUGGAUAGAACCAGAAGAUUCUCUGUGUGUAGCUCUACUUGUUCUACCUCAGAUAUUUCUUCCUCAGAAGACAAUUUUAAGAAAGGGAAUCUCCCCAGUGGCUUCCCAGCAAAUAAUUCUUUUGGUUUCUACUAUAGUUAUUUUAUUUCUUGCUUUAGGGUAUCAUUUAUACCAUGGUCAUCAAAUGGUCUUAUCUAACCAUCUUCUGCCUGUUGAUGAUACUAAAAAUAGAACAAAAUGCCUUACUACUAGUUUUGAAGUUCCUUUCCAGGUGCCCAUGAAUUAUUAUAUUUCUGCCUUGUGUAUGGCACACCAUACCCUCUCUGUUCCUUUCCUUUCCUCAACGUUGUAUUCUCCCCCUGAGCAUCUAGCUGUUUAUAUUUGAACAUCUAGUCUUUUGGAUUCAAGCAAAAAUUGACCUUGGCCUUCUAAUAUGAGAUUUUUAUAGAUCUUAGACUCAUAAGACGCUAACCCUGGAAGGACUUUUAUAGAUAACAGAGGCCAACAGAUUCUUUUUCUAGUGAGGAACCAAUACCCAGUGAAGCCAAGGGUCAGAUGCAACCCUACAAAGCCUAUGAUGGGAGGAAGCCAGAACCAGACCCAAGACAUCUGCUCCAUUUGUUUCUUAUGAGUUGGAGUAGGAUACCUGGAAAUAAUGAGAAAUUCACAAGGGUCUUCUCCCCAAAUGUUUUAAGUUUUUGUAUCAGUGGUUUUCUUAAUACAUAUUCAGGAGACCUAGAGGAAUAGGAAUUCCAUGAUCUAAAACACUGAGGCAUAAAGAGACAAGAAUUAUAGAGCUGGGACUGUGUCACUUAAGGAUCAUCUUUCUUUCCCAGUGGUACUUUGUACAGUGCCUUCACCUCAGCCAACCCUCAACAAUGUUGAUGACAAUGAUGGUUAAGGAUGACUAUGUCUCAUAUUUCUCUGUUCUCAGUCCUUUUCUGCCAUUUUGUUCUCCAUAGCCCCAGCUAUUUCUGGGUUUUAAGCCUUCUAGAAACUUGCCUCAUCUAGUUUGGAGUUUAAUGAGGGCAUUGGGUGUGUAUUCUGCAGUUGCAUUUCAUAAUUAUCACGAUGGUAAUAACUUCAAAUGAUUAGGGAUCUACUCCCAAGCACACACAUACAUUUUGAAACCUUUUUAAACUGGAGGAAGUAUGUUCCUAAUAUGUAACCAUUUAUUGCAAAAAAGAAACAUUCUCUGGUUAGAUAAUCAGAGAAAUACUGGAUGAAACAAAAUUAAACAGUUUAAUGUUGAUUUGUUUUUAUAGGAAUUUUCAGGAUCUUUAGAACACUAAUGUGAAUCCUCAAUUUCUAAGGGGGGGCAGGGUGAUAAAAUAUGUAGAAUUCCCCAAACAUCUUUGAUCAUAAAAUCAUUUACUCAUUGAACAUCUUUCUAAUGGGACUGUUUCAAAUGAUCCGAUACCUUUCCCUAGGGCUUGUUUCCUUCUGUGUAAUGACUAAGACAGUGCCUCUUCUCAUUAUUUAUCAUUUCAGGACAUAUGCUGUUAUUUUCAGCCCGAAUUUCUGUUAUUUUUCAUCCCAAUUUUCUCUAACCAUAAGCUGUUUAACUCUGACCUCAUAUGUGAGCUGCUCAUUUCCCAUAAUCAUCUCAGCUCUCCUGUUCUAAUCUACAGUUUUCAAGGUGUACAGAAUCAAAAAACUUAACAAUAAUUACAGUGAUGACAACUAACAUUUAUUGAGUUUGUACUGUGGUCCAGACAUUGAGCUAACACAUGUUGUAACAUCCUUCUUAAUUGUCACCACAAUGCUAUAAGGUCGUUAUUGUUAAUAUUUUCAUUUUACACAUGAGGAACCUGAAGAGAGCUUAUGUAACUUUCCCCAAGAAGGUUGCAUGUGGAAGAACUGGAGCUGGGUUUUUAACCUGACUGUGUUCAACUUUUACCUAAUACCUAGCAUUGCCCUUCCAGUGCUAGUUCUAUUUUUUUUUUUUUUUAAUAAAAAUGUGCUGCCUCUCCAAGCAGAAUCCUUUAGAAGCAAAGGGCCCAUGGUCCAGCCUUCAGUUCACGCUUCUGUGCUUGGCACAGCACUUGGCAUGCUGUAGCCAAUACUCCUUUGAAAAGAGAGAUUAAGCAACUUGCCAAAACCAUUAAGGUAGUAAAUGAUAGACCCAUGUUUGGAACACAUAACCACACUCAUCACAUCCUCUCAUGAAGUUCUCAUCAGCACCACACUCAGUGCAUCAGGUGAGUCCCCUUUCUUUUUCGAGGUCACCCACACUUGGCUUCUGAGCAUCCCAAACAGGAAGUUUUGUCCACUCCUACCCCCAUGUUCAUUUUCCACUCUCCUUAUAACAGACAGCGGUCCUAAACCUAGUGAACUAAAUGUACUGGUAAAUGGCUAAUGGGCUAAUGGCACUUUGGUGGUUGUCUUUAGGUAAUUUUAUUGUUAGGAAGAUGUUCUAAACCCCAGCACUUUCAUUUGGGAGCUUUUCCAGAGGUUGAAAUCUCUCAAUUUACAAUCAAAACGUCAGGGCGGCAGCGAGAUGGUGCAGCCAGGUCAUGCAGGUAGUGGUGCGCCCCCGCCACCCCGUGGGACCCUUAGUCCCACGCGCUGGCCACGUGCGCGCCCCCGUGGUAGCGUUGGAGGCACCACACAGCAUUUCAGGAAGGCGGGCCAUCAAAGGGUCUUCAUGAGAGAAACGUGGCUGCCUCCCCUCGGGUGCCAAUCUGUGGUGGAGGCUGGCUCCCCGCAGAGAACGACCACAAUCCGCUGGGUCUUGCACGGCUGGACGCCGCCUGGGCAAGGCUUUAGUGACCGUCUUUCCCUUCGUGACCUUGGCCUCUGUGAUAGGCAGGCCCGGCAGCUGCCCCGACGUCCCGGCCAGCUGGAGCCUAUUUUCCUUCCUCUAAACUUCAUCAUGUCAGGUUCGAAGCAAACUGCGGAGAAGCCCCACGAGAAGGCCUGGACAUCUCCCUACCCUGGCUCCAAGGUGGAGCGAGGCUCGGUUCCCAAUGAGAAAGUGAGCUGACUGGCUGAGUGGUGAGAGUACACGCCCGUGGAAUACACUAUCAGCUCUGUCUUGGCCGGGCCCGUGUGGGCAGACCCCCAGGUGGGCGAAAGGAACUUGUCUCCUAAGUUUAACGAAAAGGAUGGGCAUGUGGAGAGAAGGAGCCAGCAUGGUCUGUAUCAGAUUGAGAAGGGAAGACCCAGAAAUCCUGCAAGUCAGACAGCAUUGGUUGUCAAAGGGCUUUUGGGGCGUUGGGGCCCCAAUCAUGCUGCAGAUCCCAUCUUAACCAGGUGGAAAAGGGAUAGCAAGGGAAGUGAAAUUACCCACCCUAUUUCUGGGGAAAAUAUGGUGCAAUUUGUAGCCAUCAAAAGGAAGGACUGUGGAGAAUGGGCAAUCCCAGGGCGGAUGGUGGAUCCAGGACAGAAAAUUAGUACUACUUGAAGAGAGAAUUUGGUGAGGAAGCCAUGAACUCUCUACAGAAAUCUAGGGGAGAAGUGCAGGAGUUGGAGAGACAAUUUCACAAACUCUUCAGGAACAUUUUGUUAUCUGUAACGGCUAUGGGGACGAUCCUUGGAACACAGAUAACUCAUGGAUAGAGACAGAAGCUGUGAACUACCAUGAUGAAACCGGUGAAAUAAUGGGCCACCCUCCACUGGAAGCUGGCGAUGAUGCCAAGAAAGUGAAAUGAGUGGACAUGAAUGAUAAACUCGAGCUUUAUGCCAGCCACUCCCAAUUUAUUCAACUUGUGGCUAAGACACAAGGUGCCCACUAGAGUGAAGACAUGUAUGCUGAUUGCCAGGGAUAGUGGCUUGGAGUCUCAUAUGAGCCAAAGGCCUUCAAAUGAUCAAGAGUGGAUAAGAGGCAAACAGCACAGAAGACAGAGGGACACCCCUUUGGUGAUUAUUUCCAAAACUGUGCUGUAUAAAGGCUUUGUAUCAGGGAAUAAUAUUAGACAAAUAUGGGGAAAUGGGAUCACAGAAUUUUUGGCUUUCCUGUUAGAAGAAGAAUAUACUCAUAUGCUGUAUAUAUUGUAUACAUGGGUUAAACUAAGUUGUACAAUUACUACUCUUUGGAGAACUGUAGGAAAAACAAUGACAUCUUCCUUAAUAACCAUAGGCUCUACUUUUCAUCUCGUUUGUAUUUGUCAGUUCUUCCUCCUGAUGUUUUAAUGUGGCUUAAUCUAAUGUAUAAUCUGACUUUUGGGUUAACAUUUAUUUUUUAAAU